AGUGCGAGAGAAAACAGGUUUCAAAAACAGCCGAGACGCCAGCCUCGCCACCUGGACCCGGCCAGAGUUAGAGACGCAGGGAUCUAGAUGGCCCGAUGUGCGGAGCGUGAGGGUCCGAGAGUCCCCGCCCCCCGCCGCGAAGACCUGUUCUAGGAUUUGUAGACAGCCCUGCUGGAAGGUACCAGCAGGGUCCCCCAUGGUGGACAGGUUUCAGCAGAGCUCCCAGACUAAGACAGACCAGGAAGAACGACCUGGCCACCCUCUUCUGAAAAAUUUGGCCAUGAAAACCCUAUGCAUAGCAGCAGAUCGCUGUCUGAUACAGCGCCAGAAGCAGCUGAGCAUGCCUCAAGGAUCAAGGCUGGAAGCAUCAUUCACCCCAGGCUUCCCUGGAGCCGCUGACCAGUGCCUGGCACAGAGGAGGUGCCCAGUACGCAUCAGGGACUUAAGUUCUGUCCGCCAGUUCUCUGAGUGUGCCCAGCAAGCGGGUGACCCUCCGCAGUUGGAGAAGCAACAGCAACUGUGGAGGCUGGAGGAGGUGGCCCUGAGGGCCCCCACCAGCCCAGACUGCCCUCCUGGAGAGGACCAGCAGCUGUCUCCUCCUCAGUCUGGGCAUCCACAGAGGGAGGUCUCUGGCUAUGGAGCUGCUGAGCUAAUUAAGAAUGACAAAGCACCGUGUAAUUGCCAGCACUUGGUGAGUCCCCUGCCUCUUCCUGCCCCUCCUUCCCUUGCCCUGCUUGGCCUGGAAGUCCUCCGCACAAACAGAGCCCGGUGGAGUGGCAACACUGAGCACAGGCUGGUGUCAAGCAGACCUGGAGACUGGCUGCCUCUGCCGCCCCCUUGCAGCGAGACCCUGAGCAAGGAAGUUCCCCUCUUACGUCAGCUCCAUUUCCUCGUCUGCAGGGCUCUUGACCUUGUGUUAAGAGGAGGGACAAGGCUAAGGGGCCGACGGGGCUGCACUUGCCAGAUGGUUGAAUGCAACAAGGCACACAGCCCCAGGUCUGAACCCCAGCCCUGCCACUCACCAGCUGUGUGAUCUUGGGCAGGCCACUUACCUUCUCUGAGCAACAGAGUCCUCAUCUCCAAAAUGGGAUUUGUCUGAGAGCACUUAGCUCUUACGAGGAGAAUAUGCGUUUGUCCUAGAUCUGUGCCUGCGACAGAGAACCCUGGACAAGUUCCUCUCUAUCAAAGUGGAUGCAGAAAUUAAGGGUUGAGAACUUAUGAGCAAUUUGAUAGAGUAAUUUUAUGUCUUGAGUCUCAUAAUAAAGAAAUAGGCUUGUAAUUUUUUUCA